UAUUUAUUUUACCAAGUGUAGAGAGCAAGAUGGAAUCACUCAUGUAAAGCAGGGUCUAAGCAGUUAAAAGCACUGCAACUUCCAGGUAUCACCAAGACCAGCAUCAGCUGAUGAUACCCCAGAACUGGUAAUUAGCAGAAGCAGAGUGGGUCUGCAGGAGACCAAACCUGAUUAAACCCCUUUAAUAAAGGAGGAUUUUUACAGCAAACUGUCAGACUCCUCAGAUACUCACCAGUCUGACCACAUCAAAAGGGGAGCUGCCACAGAAAGCUCUGCCUGAUUCAUCUCUGAAGAGAACACAAAUCCUUCACUGCUUGAACAUAAUAAAUAGUUAAGUGCCAAGAGCAGACUCAGACCAAACCACGGCCUUAUCUCAACUGCACGUCCACAUAUUGACUUUGGGUUGGGUUCGUUAACUUCCUACACUCUGUGUUAUCCUGUUUGUUAUCCUGUUUGACUUAUCCUGUGUUCAGCUUUGUGUGCAGUGUAAAAAGCCAAGUUAACCAUGUAGUGAAAUGUUAUUGAGUUGUAAUCUUGAACCUGCUGUAUAACUAUGUUAACCUUGCUUUAUGACUAAAUAAGAUGACGUUGUGGAAAGACACAGCUCGUGUGCACCUUCAUAGUGUGCUCAUUACAACUCACAAGCCCUCUAAAAUCUUCUGAUCAGGAUGCAUAAGCCAUGGCUCAUUGCUGCUCAUCUUCCUAUUGACCAAAGCAAGUCACAUGACCAAGACAAAAAAUUGAAGAAGAGACAAAAUAAUAUCAAAUACUGCUAUCAUCUAUGAGAGCCACAAAAGGGUCAUGACUACAAGAGUCAGGAGAAAGUGACUGGAGCACAGAUUGAUGAAAGAUCCUGCAGGACGACAAAGGUUAAAGAUGCAGACCUGGAGCUAGAAGCCAGCGGUGACACUGAUGGAGUGGACUGCGAUGAGAAUGGCCACAUUAUUGUCCUAUCCUCUGAUAACCAAUGUAAUAUGAAAACUGACUACAGAAGAAAGGAACAAAUUAAAUCCAUUAAUCAAGCAUAUCUCUGCUAAACAGUUGUUCUAAAGAGAUGAACAAAUGAAAAAUUUACUGUUUGUUUUCAUGCUUUCAAGGAUUGGGGAAGAAAAUUAAUUAUAAGGUACUGGCCACGCUAUUAGUUAAGUUUUUCUUGAGGAAACUAUUUAUUGUGUUGUCAAAGGACAAAUGAACCUCAUUAGGAAGAUUAGUUUCAGCUGGUAGUUCUAUGUGAGGACAGACUAAUAAUACACACUUCAAAAGAUACCCUAAGUAAAAUUAUGGAAAUUGAAAAUCCAUUUUUUACUUCUUAAUUUAUGAACUGUUCAAAAAUGACCACUCUAUUACCUGGCACACAAUCAGGAGGCAAUCGAACGUCGCCCCACUUUCCACCCAAGUGCUGGAAGGAGAACUAUUUCAGGGAAGGUUUUGCAAGAUUGUGAUGAUGAACUUCUGUACUUGGGGGUUAUAACUUGGCCCGGGCAUUCUAUCCUUAUGUUGCAGCAUGCCAAGCAGAGCUCCGCGCCAAAAGCAAUUUUUGAUAAGCUCCUCUAAGAUCCUUUUCUUUUCAAAAUGUUGUAAGCGCCCUGGAUAAAUAGCAAGCUGACAUCUGGUAUUCUGAAUUUCCCUUUUAAUUCACACAGGACAAAGCAGGAAAAGGCAAAUACUACUUUGCUAGCAAUCCUGUCUGGCCAAUGGACUGAAGCUCCUGAGUCGGCCAGCCAGGGCAGCUUGGUUUCCACGGUCAUUUCAUCCCUGGCCUUUCCAUGAGGCAGCUAAGGAGGGCGCCAAUUACUGAGCUGUGUCAGGGGGAGGCCCAGGCUAAAACACCUGUCUCCUUCCAAAACCCAGAGUGAAACCAGGCUCAUUCCACAGAGUGCAUAAAUCAGCUGUGAAAUAAUAAUGACUUUUUGGAUUCAGCUGACCUGGACUGGAUUCAGACUGCUGACCCAGAAAGAAAAGGCUUCACAUAUCCCAUUACCGGUCUGGUGAGCCAUUGAAGACAUCACUAUCCUGCUCCGACUUGCUUUUAUUUAU
ensembl:lncRNA